UACAGAGGUCUCAAGCGUUGUUCGGAUUCAUUGGGCGUAAAGGGUGCGUAGGCGGCACGGUAAGUCGGGUGUGAAAUCUCGGAGCUUAACUCCGAAACUGCAUUCGAUACUGCCGUGCUUGAGGACUGGAGAGGAGACUGGAAUUUACGGUGUAGCGGUGAAAUGCGUAGAUAUCGUAAGGAAGACCAGUGGCGAAGGCGGGUCUCUGGACAGUUCCUGACGCUGAGGCACGAAGGUCAGGGGGAGCAAACGGG
rnacentral:rRNA from 1 species